UACGUAGGGUGCAAGCGUUAAUCGGAAUUACUGGGCGUAAAGGGCUCGUAGGCGGCCAACUAAGUCGGACGUGAAAUCCCUCGGCUUAACCGGGGAACUGCGUCCGAUACUGGAUGGCUUGAGUGUGGGAGAGGGAUGCGGAAUUCCAGGUGUAGCGGUGAAAUGCGUAGAUAUCUGGAGGAACACCGGUGGCGAAGGCGGCAUCCUGGACCACGACUGACGCUGAGUGAGCGAAAGCCAGGGGAGCAAACGGG
rnacentral:rRNA from 1 species